rnacentral:misc_RNA from 1 species
UUUCUCACAUGAUUCUGAACAAGUCUCUUUUACAGAGGUAGCAAGUCUAACGGUGUCUUGUAUCAAGGAAUCAAGGUCAGCUUCAAAUCCUGGUUUGACAUAGAUGACUGAUGGAUCAUCCCAACCAAGCAGUGGAAGUUGAUGUGCACAUCCUUUGUUGUCUCUGGUUGAUGGUAAUACCCAAACUUUAAAACUUGUAUGUACCUCUCUGCAGUAUGGAGAAUAACAGUUGCUACAUUUUGUGGUGAAAGAUGUGAUAAUUGUUCCAUCCACUGAGAGCCCAAAGCCAGCGUGCUUGUGGAUAGAGAGUUGAAUAGAAAUUGG